AGACAGCAGAUGCAGACGGACAGACUUCAGUCUGCAAGCUGCUGCCUCCCAGCCUCGCAAAGCUGGUUGGCUUGCUGGUGCGUGCUCUGAUGUGCUGCUGCUUCUUUCUCCUGCUGCUGCUCUCAUCCUGCGCCGAUACGGUGCCGUCAUGCUGCAGCUCCAAGGGAUGUAUGCAUAACUCCCUUGGGAAGUUUAUAACAGUACGUUCAAUAGGGGAAAUGAACUCUGAAUGUGGAAAUAAAGUCUUCCAAGUUGAAUCUUUCCUCAUUUUCUUUUCUUUUUUUUUAAUUUUUGUAAAUGAAUGCCGUUGCCGUUUUCUCCCAGCUGUUGUUGAGGCAUGACCUGGAAUGACUCAUGGUGUUCUUAGAUGUCCCUGCAGACCAGUGGGACCACGGCUGGGAGUGGAUGGAACAGUUUGCCCCCACCCUGCUGCAGCUGUCUGCUGUGCAGUGACAGGAGGUGGAGCAUGGAAGGGGAAGACACUGGGGUUGCAGAAAUACAACUAUUUUACCUCUCUUUUGCUGCCUUCCUCACCGUUGUCAACAAGAUCAACAUUCUGUUGAAUUUCACUUGGAGUAACCUCAGUGCUGCAUCAGUGGGGCCACGUCUUGCUUCAUCCACAGCUGCAAUCAGCCACAGGACUGUCUGUGCCAUCCCUGGGUAGAAGGGAAGACAAUAAAGACCUAAAUACUGACCAUAACGGGAGUUGUCCUCUUUUUCUUCCUCUUCUCAGCCACUGACCCUUUUUUCCCCCAUAUCUCUUUCCUGGUAAAUGUGUAGAGCUCCAUCUAAGGGUGUCCUGUUGAGGGAAAAAGAGAAUUGCCUUUGCUUUCUCUCCUUGUUUAUGUUGCCUGGUGCAUGACUGAAAGGCUUUUCCCUCUUUAUCCAGUAAUAUUCUCU
ensembl:lncRNA